CCCAAGCCCGAAUGAAAAAGGUGGAGGGUUGCUUAAGGCCAUAAAAAGCCAGUGUUGAAAACAUGUUAGUACUCAUAAGCAUGAUCCUAACUGUUUCAUGGUAAGACUAGUCCGUCACAAUAAAUUAAUGCAACAUAUAUUGACCUCUCCAGUUAUUAUGAGAAAUAGAGUUUUCUGUUCCUAAUUCUAACAUUUAAAGUGCCCAUUAGUUCUUUAAAUCAAGGUCUGCAAUACCGAAUGAUACUGCUCGUACCGGGCGGUACAUACCGGUCCGUCAAUAGACCAGUACACGGACAGCCCACUACCGAGCGGUACCAUCAAUUAAGGCAUUAUCGUUAUCGAUUGAGGUGUUAUUAUCGACGGUGAUCGAGGGAGAAGAAAGAAGAGGGAGAAGACGAAGAAAGAAAUAGGAAAAAAAGGUAAAACCUGGAUGUCACCUCUCUCCUCCUCGUCUGUCGACGACUUCUCAUCUGUGCACGGGAGAAGAGGCAUCGGCUUGUGGGGCGGAGAGAAGCGAAGAUUUUUUUUUUUCUUCUCUUCUUGGGCAAUGUCGCCUCGGGCAUCAUCGCAAUAUUUUUGUUUUUUAGAUGUCAUAAGUUUUUUUUUAUCUGCACGUCACCCCGCAUAGAGGUAAACUGUGCAGUUUACCUAUAUAUAUAUAUAUAUACAUAUAUAUAUAUAUACAUACAUAUAUAUACACACACACACAGCGGUAUACCAAAAUAUACCACUCGGUAUAUAGUAUCAUACCGUAUCGAAUAAGUCUUGAAAUUUUGGUAUAGUACAAAAUUUCAAUCCUUGAUUUAAGUGACUUCUUUUAUGGACUAACAUGCAAAUAUCGGGACUGUGUAACUUAUAUAUCAUGAACUAGCAUUGUCCAUAAUGUAAGUUACUUAUAUAAGAAACCAACAAGUAUGCUUUCUGUGGAUGAUAAUUGUUAGGACGGGAAACCACAGCAUGUGGAUAAGGCUCUUAAUGGUGAAAUUUUAUAGGUUAGAUCAAGGUAUGCAAUACCGUACCGUAUUAGUAUUUCGAGGUUGGCUCGGUAUGGUACAGUACCGUAUACCGAGCGGUACGUCAGGGUGUACCGAGCGGUACACCUAAUUUAGGUGUAAGACCCUCCGAAAAUACCUAAAAAUAAAAAAAAAGUUAGGAUAGGAUUUUUACGUUAGAAAUAAAUAUAGUAAUAGCAUAAGUUUAGUAAAAUCAAUAUAAAUUAGGUAAGAAUAGUAUCAUAUAUCUUUUUCAGGCUUUGAAGAAUAUCUUAUGCAAGGUUCGUAUUUCAGUUUAGUACGGAUUAUCCUUAUGUAAACAUACCUCUUGAUUAGAAAGUUCUUCCUCUUAAUCUUCCUAAAUUAGCCUCGAUUCAAUUCACAAAUCGUUGUUUUGUAGAGUUUAGGAGAGAACAAAUGUGAGAAAAAAAGAGUUUGAGAUAGUUUAAGAGUAUGAGAAUGUAAUGGAGUGAAAUAAAGGAGAAGAAGGGUUUUUAAAUACCAUAAGAAAGGGUUCCAACGGUCAAUUUGACCAUUGGAGCACUGUAUCACUGUUACCGAGCAGUUUUAAAUAUUUCUUCCUCUUACUGUAGCAUUGUAGCACUCUAGCAUGUUCUGUCCGGUAGCGGGUGGUCCGCAAACUGGUAUGUCGUCGGACCGGUACGUAUCGCCCGUACCGGGUGGUAUCAUUCUAAAUUGGUUGGAUCAAGAUUGACAAUCCUUUGAACAUGAUGAGGUAAACUACUCCACUCUAUUUGACUUUGUGAACUAAAACUUGAUGGUUAAUUUUUUUUUUAACUUUUUAUUGGCAGCUGUAAUGACAUAUAUGAAUCUCCAAUUGAAUUGUGAGAGACACGAUGGCUAUGCAGGUCCAUCUUCUCAAAGGAUUUGGACUGCCAUUUAAAUGAACAAGUCUCCACAUUGUUAGUUACAGAUGUUCUUCUGUUUCUUCUUUGCAUUUUGUUCUAUAAUAUUUUGUGUCAAACAUUGAAAUAAUUAUAGAUGAUGUGUUCCAUAUUACUUAAUAGAAAUUCUUUUGCUUUUUGGCUUUCCACGUGUUUAAAAGUGUUCUUUCUUAGUUUAGAGGAUUCCACAAUAAGUUUAUGAAGAAACUAAUGUUAAUUAAAUUAUUUUUUCAUGCAUAUUAUGUGAAUGGAUAUGGUUUCUUAUCAAAUCAAUUUACAACCUGAUUUGGCAAUUUUGUACUUGAAUAGUUGGGUCUGUCUUCAAUAUUUGAUGAAAUUGUUAAAACUGAAGUAACCAGGCACAUGCAACCUACUGAUUACUUGAGCUUGUUUGGGGAAGAAUUCAAAUGAACUGAAGAUUAUUGGGAUGCUUCUUAUUUGAAUGUCUUGGAUAUAUCUGUAGCGGAAGAAGGCAGUCCUCAUGUCUUAUUUGGAUGUGCUUCACAAGUAUGUUCUAAAUGAUCACCUACCCUAUAAUGUUUUUUAAACUAAGUAUCAUGUUUUUUUCCUAUUGGAAUAACUUUUAGCCACCAGGAGUUUGCUUCUGUAACUAAAUUGUCGAGUGUUUACGUUCUUUUAUAAUGAAUAGAUAGCCUCUCCUGUUCUGCAAAUUGGCUAAUAGUAAUUUAAAAUUUUGGUCCCUAUUACCACUUAUACAAGCACUGCUUCCAGGUGAAAGGUCUCUGUUUUAAGUUAAAACUUUUAACACCUUUUACUAGUUUAUAUAUUAAUUAAUUUGGAUGGAUUCUGAUUUCCUUUCAUUUGAUGGCACGUCUUCCUCCAAUUAGCCUCCUAAAUCAAGUUGAUGAUAGUUUUUCUUUGUGGAAACAUCCUUCUGUCCAGCAUGCUCUCUCUCAGGUUCAGCAGUGAUGCAUCUGGGUGAUAUACGUUACAUGCAUUUGUAUUCUUAUCAAAAGUCUCAACAAUUCAUAUUAAUCUGUUGUUGCAGAUAAUAAUAAUGUCAUCGUCAUCUUCUUAAUGCUUGUGCGGGCUAUCUGUCUUCAUUCUUAUCAUCUCGUGUUUGUUGGUUUCAUACCAAGUUUAAUUAUGAAUAGACAACUUACUUUUUGGCUUUCUAAGUAAGCAUUUAUUUUUCAAUCUUCAGGCAAAAGCAGCAUGUGUAUUGAUUGAUUUAUGCUUUGGACCAUUAUCACCAUGGAUAUAUACAAUUACUGCAAAGGUUUCAUCUUUUUCCAUAAUAAGUCUACAUAUUAAGUCAACAACUUGUAUUUUUGUAACUGCAUUGACCCUUUUUCAUGUUGAUCUUGCAAUUGAACUUCCGGAGGAUCUCUUGGUGUUAUUCAAGUAAUUUCAUCAUUCUUCUUGUUUUUAUUACUGUUAUGAAGGCUUAAUUCUUUAUUAUAAUGAAUGCUCGUUUGGUUGGUUGGUUGGUUAUGAAGUCAUGGAUACAAGUGUAAGAUAUUGAUAUGAUGGAUAUGGGUAUGUAUCAAUGUAUAAUGUUCACUAUUUAAUGUGACAAAAUUUGGUAUUUAUUUAAUGUUAGAAUAGGUAGAUGUAUAUAAAUCAUGAUUCAUCAUAAUUAACCUAUUCAUCAUGAAAAUAUAUAAACAAUGUUUGGUGAAUUAUCUAACAUAAGCAAUUAAAACUAUCUAUGUUUGAUGAGUACUUGGUCAUUUCUUGGUGCAGAUCUGACCUUUUUUGUGGUCAAUACAUUGUGAUUUAUUGUGGAUGGUCAAAUUAUCAAUCACUAAUUUUCUCUUGAAAUAAUCUCCUCAUUUUGAGAAAAAUGUUAUUUGAUUUGAACAUCAUAGUCCUAGCAUAACAAAGACUAUGAAGUUCAGAGGCAAUUUGUUCUGCUGUGGUAUAAUAUUUGAUGAUGAUUGUUCAGAUGACAAUUAGUUUCACCAUUUGAUGAUUGUUCAGAUGGCAGUGGUUGAUGAUUGUCGAACUAUGUUAUGCUAGUAUAAUACUAGCAUGGAGUUUUGUUUUAUACCAAGGAUGUCCCUGAACACACAAUCAAGCACAAGGCUUGUUCCAGCCAUAUGUUUAAACCGUGCUGAUCGGCAUGUAUUGUACUGACAUGUCCAUCCUGAUGAACUAAAAAAAUACUUUCUAUGACCUAUCAUAGAUGUUAUUUUGUGAUCCAUCUAUUACCUUAUUAUGAAGAUUCCAACAAUAUCAGUCAUUUGUACACUUGAAUAAAACCCUGAUCUCUUGAAUUUGAUCCUGAUCAUCAUAGCAGUUAUUGUGAAACUGAAACUUUUGUCUGUUGGAUUGGAGUUUUCCUUUUUUUCUAGAGAGCCAAUAAAGAACCUACUGUUUCAGUGUUCUGAUGAUACAACUAUGACGCAGCCUUGUACAGAGUUCUUUGGAGUGUUGUGCUAAACUCUUAUGGGACUUUUAUGGACCAAUAUAACUACUGUUGUGGCUUGGAAAGCUAUAUAUUUCUUAAUGGGUAGCAGAUUAUUUUUUACAUGUUUCUAAGAUACCAAUAUACACUUAAAAUAUACACUUCAAAUCCUGUGAAUGCAAGUCCUUUCGUUCUAGUUACUGUCAUUUAGUACUUUUUAGUUCAUGAACCCUGUAUGUGACAUCCAUCUUUCAUCUGUGUGCUCAAGAAACUGUGAAUUUCAUCACAAUGCCCUCGUUAUUAUCCAAAUUCUAUCCACUUCCUCCUGAAUAAAAAAUCAAGAAAAGGAAAAAAUUUCGUAUGAUAGAUUAUGCACUUAUUUUCAUGCUUCAUGUUUGGUUGACUCUGUUCAUAAUGCCCCUACCGGGUGUUUCCAUAAUCUACUAGUCGUGCUUAUGCUGCUUUGAAGCAAGGUAUACAAUUUUGAAUGGUACCACCCGGUACAGGCGGUACGUACCGAUCCGAUAGGUUACCGGUAUGCGGACCACCCAUUACCAGGAGGAACGCUUAAACUAUCUCAAACCCUUCUCAUGUUUUUAAACCAUUCUUCUCCCCUAUUUCACUCCAUUUCAUUCUCAUACUCUGUUAAACUAUCUCAAACUCUUUUUUUCUCAUAUUUGUGUUAUCUUAAACUCCAUUACACCUAAAUUAGGCGUACCGUACCAUAUCAAGCCAACCUCGAAAUGUCGGUACGGUACGAUGUUUCAAUCCUUGCUUUGAAAUAUAUCUUGCUGGCCUUGUCUGAGCAUAUGGAUGAUGUACUGUCAAAAUAUAAGGUUUGACCUUCUAUUAAAGUAUCAAGCAUAAUUUUGCUUACUCUUUCCAAUCAGAUAGAUGAUGCUUUUACCAUCCGUGUAGGAAUUUAAACAUAGGCUUCUAUUUCUUUUAGAGAUGCUAGAACCCUUCCGUGAUCCUGUGAUUACUGGAACAAAGAAUACAACUUCUGAAGAUGCUAAUGAUAUACACUUGGAGAAAUAGAAGAACUGUUGUAUUGCAUUCAAUGUUAUAUGUACUGCAUUACGAAGGCCUGCCAUUCUUCCUUUUGUGGAAUCUGAAUGGAGACGUGAAUCUAUUGCACCAAGGUCUAUUGUAACAGCAUAUGCUAAUAUCAUAGAGAAAUUAAAAAAACUUUAACAUCUUUAUAGUUUAUACUUUAUAAUGCUUAUUUUUGGAGAUGCAAAGAGAGAGAUGAAGUGAUCGGUGAAGACUACAGUUUAAAAAGAUGUGAGAGUCAAAAAAGAAGAAAUUAUUUUUUGUUUUUUUUUUUCCCUGCAACAAAAAGAAUCUUAUCAAAUGCACCUUGUCGGUUGUUACAUUACUUGGUUUUUAGCUGACAAUAUACUGUCUUCAUUGUCUUUCUAUAUUGCAGUGUACUCCUUUUUGUUUUGGGGCCACAUAUGCCAUUUCUUCAGAUAUUGACCUUUGCAAAUGUUCAUUUCCUAAGGUGGCUGAUCAAGAGUCUUUAGCUGUUUCUUCUAACUUUGUGAUAUGUUCUCAUGGGGCUUCUAGCACAUCCAGUAAUCCGGAUGAAGCAAAGAGAAAGAUUGAUGCAUCUAAAGCUGCCACAAGAAAGAUGUACUCCAAGAUGCUAAUCUGUAGUUUGCUCCUAGAGAUCUGUCAAAAAUUGUUCUGACAAGUGUUUCAAAUUAUUUUACUGGGGACUGGAUCAGAUUGAAUUUCAGUUGUGGUGUUUCAGAGAUUAUCUACAACUUGUAAACUAUCAAGAUUCGGUAUAUAGGGCUUCCCAAUUUGAACAUUUGGCAGCUGAUUUGUGUUCCCAGCAUGACAACCCCAGAAAGCCAUGAAGCUGCAAUAGAAUCCAUACUCUUGGCUGCAGAAUGUUAUGCCAACUCAUUCUUUAUAAUCGAUUUCAUAUGGAUGCAAUUCAGAGCUUAUGAAUCAGAUGAAAAUCAUUGGAUCCAAAUUCAUGAAUAAAAAUGGAUUAGUGGUGUUUUAUGAAGACCUUAAGAGAUGUAAUGUCAAUCUGGAGACAAUAGCUUAUCUUGAAAGUAAAAGAGAUAUAACUGUUCUACAAAUUCUGCUUCCGCUAAACUGGACCUCGAAUCUGAGAGAAUUUUGGCUCUUUGGAAACCUUGUACAUAUUAUUUUGAAGAUAAUCAGUAGGCUUUAGAAAUAUCACAAGUCGACAUUGAAUCUGAUGUGGCAACUUUGAUUAGGCAGAAUCAACCAUUGCUUUGCCACUUUGUAAUCCUCCUACAGAGUCUCCCCUCUUUCUACUGCAUUCUGCAACUGAGUUAUCCUGUUCUGCAGAGAAUGUUAAUGACAUUAUACUGCAGUCAGCUGCAAAUCUUAGUGGACAACUUACAAUUUUGUACACCCAACUGAAAGCAGGCAACAUACAACUUGAAAUGGUAAAGUUACAUGGGCUGCCAAGGUGCUGGGCACUUCUUGAAAGAUUAAUCUGGAAAUGAUGAACGGACAUAUCCCAUUGGUAUCAAAAGUGCUGGUUUCAUCUACAGAACUUUAGUUCCACAUUUAUCAUGGAUGCAGAAAAUAUCUAGAUUUUCAAGUUGCACAUGUUCAUUUUCUAGAUUUUUAGGAUGGAUGUCAGUAUCUUGAAAUACAAAGCAAUACUUGAAGGAACACUUGUUUAUUGCC